rnacentral:rRNA from 1 species
AGAGUUUGAUCCUGGCUCAGGACGAACGCUGGCGGCGUGCUUAACACAUGCAAGUCGAACGGUAAGGCCCUUCGGGGUACACGAGUGGCGAACGGGUGAGUAACACGUGGGUGAUCUGCCCUGCACUUUGGGAUAAGCCUGGGAAACUGGGUCUAAUACCGAAUAGGACCAUGGACUUCACGGUUUGUGGUGGAAAGCUUUUGCGGUGUGGGAUGGGCCCGCGGCCUAUCAGCUUGUUGGUGGGGUAAUGGCCUACCAAGGCGACGACGGGUAGCCGGCCUGAGAGGGUGUCCGGCCACACUGGGACUGAGAUACGGCCCAGACUCCUACGGGAGGCAGCAGUAGGGAAUAUUGGGCAAUGGGCGAAAGCCUGACCCAGCGACGCCGCGUGAGGGAUGAAGGUCUUCGGAUUGUAAACCUCUUUCAGUAGGGAAGAAGCGAAAGUGACGGUACCUAAAGAAGAAGCACCGGCUAACUAUGUGCCAGCAGCCGCGGUAAUACAUAGGGUGCAAGCGUUGUCCGGAAUUAUUGGGCGUAAAGAGCUCGUAGGUCGUUUGUCGCGUCGAUUGUGAAAAUCUGAGGCUCAACCUCAGACCUGCAGUCGAUACGGGCAAACUAGAGUGUGGUAGGGGAGACUGGAAUUCCUGGUGUAGCGGUGGAAUGCGCAGAUAUCAGGAGGAACACCAAUGGCGAAGGCAGGUCUCUGGGCCAUAACUGACGCUCAUGGACGAAAGCCAGGGGAGCGAAAGGGAUUAGAUACCCCUGUAGUCCUGGCCGUAAACGAUGAACACUAGGUGUCGGGGGAAUCGACCCCCUCGGUGUCGUAGCCAACGCGUUAAGUGUUCCGCCUGGGGAGUACGCACGCAAGUGUGAAACUCAAAGGAAUUGACGG